CUGGUGUUAUUUUCCUGUAUGUAAUGUGAUCUGUUUUAUACCAAUAAUUAACUCUGAAGUGAAACAUUGAUAUCGGAGCAAAGGUUUUUUGGUUCCUGUAACUGUCUCGUAAUCUUGUGUUUGCCAAAGUUUAAUAUAUAAAUGCUUGCCAUCUGUUUUGCUGGGCCCUGUCAAAUUUUGGCCAUCUUAAACCCUUUCCCUCCGAGUUCUGUGCUGUAGCUCAAAUUAUGUGUUCUGUUAUUUGCUCCGUCCCUCUUCGGCCUCCAGUGUUGUUUGGGGAGAGUGUCCUCACAGUGGGAAGAAAACCCGAACUUGACUCGUGGAGAGCCGCGAAUCCUUGCAAAGCAUCUUGGUUUGGGCAAAGCAUCUUGGGGCCGGGCCUCAGUGAACUGGCCGUUUCCGUGUGUCCUCUGGAAGCGCCGAGCAGAUGUGCGGCCACUUGGGUGUUCCCUUGGGUGUCCACUUGCAGUUACGUGCAUUUCAGUCUCCUACAGACUUCGCUUUGUGUUCAAGGCAAGUUUGUUGGCUUUGUGUUGUUCUAAUACACAGAUUUUCUUUCCGGGAAAAUGCUUGCAAGGUUUUGAACUUUGAAAACUAUACAUUCAAUUUUAGAAAUUUUUAUGUAAACGUAUUGAAAGUAUUUUGAGAAGCACUGCGUUUUGGGUUUGUGUUCAUAAGCCGGCUGAAAUGUUGGUAGAGGCGACAGCUGGACUGUGCGGAGCGAGCUCCGCGCCAGGCCGGCUGGUGGUCAGCGUCGGAGGACUAGACGGCCGGCCGCGGGGGCACGAGCAGGGCUCGCGCGAGGAGCGCGGUGGACUGCAGCGCACCCGGCCGGCCUGCAGCCGGAGCGCCCGUGCGGCGGCCUCUCCGAUCUCUGCGGGCGGCACCUCCUGUCGCCCAGUGUUGGCCGAGGGUCUCCCCGCCCGUGUGCGCGCGCCCCCUAAGUCCGCGGACGCCCGAGGAGGCUGCGAAGCCGUGCCUACCCUCAAGGAAGCGCCGCCGGAAUUAAAGGAGAGAACGAACGAGCAGCGCCUCCGGAGCCUCACCGACGGCGCGCGGCCGGCCGGCGGCCUUUCCUCGGUGGCGGGCGGCCGGUCGGCGGUGGCUGUGCGCCCCCGGGGCGGACGCGUCAGACCGGGGCGUGGGUGCCCUCGGAGCGGGAGGGUCGGCGUCGGAGGACCGGGUGUUCGCCCCGCGGCGACGCUGGGGACGGAGCGGCCGCGGGGCCAUGGCGCGAGCAGGGGCGAGCCGGGGCUGUUCGCCGUGGCGGAGGCGGCGCCGGUUUCCCGCGUCGGAGGAGGCCGCGCUUCCGUUCCGUCGGCGGGACUUCGGGGGCGCCCGCGGAGAGGCGCGGACUCUGCUGAAGCAGUGUGUCCUCCCCGACUCCCCGGUGCCCUCCCGGCUGGGCAGCGCCUGCAGGGCCCGCGGAGGAGCGCCGUGGGGGCCGGCGGGGCCGGCGGGCCGGGGGCCGGCGCCUCCCGUGCGCGCGCGCCCGCAGACAAAAGAGCGAGCCGGCGCGCCGCCCUGGGAAAGCGAAACCGCGCCGGCUGUCGCUUUAAGAGACCAGCUUCCCCGGCUCGCGGCCGCCGCCGCCUAACCUGCUAGCCAGGAAAAGUUCUUUAAAGUGACGGACGUCGGCCGCGUCCAACCGCAGCGGCCGGCCGCCGGCGCGGGGCGGGGCGUGUCCUCGGCGGCCAGUAGGCGCGCAGGGGGCGGGGCUGGCCGGCCAAGCUCGGUUGCCGCGGAGCACAGCUUCCAGUGAAGUUCAUCUGAGGGGAAGCGAACAGAAAAUUGUGGAGGUUUCGGUGCACCUCCUCUCUGAGAGUUGGGAGUUACAUAGUGUGGUCUGAGAAGGGUCUACAUAAGAAGCUAUAGGAAUGAAUCUGAAGUCUGCUGCGGUAAAACACUGAAGGCUUUACAAUGUUUUCUUGCAUAAAACUCAGACUUUAAGUAGCUGCUUAUGAGGCUAGGGAAGGCAGGAGGCUAAUGUGUGUCUCGAGAUACAGGACAGCUGUUUGCCCAUCAACCUCAACUGUAGCUUGGGGGUGUGAUCCUGUAACCUCCCUCGUAUGGAUACAGCGGGAACUGAAGGAGAUACCUCCUGUGAGGCCAUAGCACAGGGCCUCGUGUGUGGCGACAAGAGCUGGCAUCUUCAGUGAGGGCUUACGCGUACACAUCUGAA